GGCCGCCCUCCACAUCCCAGAGCGCAGGCGCAGGAUUGGCUGCCCAGCGCACUGGCGACCUGGGCUGAGGGCGGGGCUUUGGAGAGAAGAGCUAAAUAGGAAAGAGAGACUGACCAAUGAGAUGUUGGAGGAAAGGUGUGUGCUAGCUGAGACGGGCGGGUGAUACUGUUGUCAAGAAGAGGACCGUAACGGGGAAGAUAAGGUCAUGACUUGAAAGUGAACUGGAUUUUAGUGACUCUGCCAAAUCACCAGCUUCAGAUCUAGUGAUGGAGAACUGGAAUUCAGGAACCCUUUCCAUAUCUCUUCCUCACACUCUGGAAUGGCUGGACACAUAGGAGGGGAGAAAAUCUGAGUGGAACUAUAAAGAAGAACCAGACUGAUAUCUCAACUCCCAGAAAUCUGAGCCAGAGGGUUGGCAGUCUUGGCUUUAGAUCACCCAAAGAUAAGGAAUCAGUAGAUGAGAAAUCUCAUUUCCAGGACCCAGAGCCAUGAAGAGCCAUUUAAUAAGUGAAGAUACGAGCUCCACAGGGGAAUCUACCUGUAACUUUUAAUUAGAGCCCGACCUUAUUCAACUCUAGGAGUUUUGGGGACUUUCCAGAGCUACCAAUAAUGCCCAAAAAAGAUUUUUCUUCAGUCCUUUGGAUGUCAGAUUUUGUUCUGCUACCUAUGUAUUCAAUCUGAAACUAAAAAAUGGGUCUCAAGUCAGCUUUGUGGGUUUCUCUUGCCUUCCUGAUCUCAGUCAUGUGUCAAAAUUUUAGGCCUUAUAAAACUAUUGUCCUUACUCAGGCCUCGGGGUGCUCAUCCGGGAAGUCAUGCCAUUUCUCUUCCUUCCUUCCCCCACAUUUUGCUCUUUGUGGUUUUUCUUCCAAGGAUUCUCUUAUUCAUUGAAAAGAUCUAUAGAUUUCCUGCCACUGUUAAUGGUAUAUCCCCUCAAAAUUAAACUAUCCUCGUUCAUCCUAUCCCUUAUUCUAGGCCACAGAAUAGGUGGUUUCUAAAGUUCUAAAAAGGUGAACAAAUAAAGUUACAUAUUUACAUACUCAGCAAAAUUUCAAAGCUGAUAUUUUCUAUUUUGCAUCCUACCCUUUUCCAGAGGGAUUUAAAGAAUAUUACAGCUGGUCAGGGUCUCAGAGCAUUUGAACUAGACUUUGAAAGGAAAGAAUGAUUUUAGCAGGUAUUGUUGAAUGUUAUUUAACCAGAGAUCAAAUGAUUGGGUAAUCCUUUAGUAAGAUUAAUGUAGUAGUAGUAGUAGUAGUAAUUAGUAUGUAGAAUGGAUUAGAUUAGGGAGGAUUUAGAAAGAAUAGGGGAAAAAAAGAUUAAGCCCUAGGGAAAUCCCCUUCCUGAGAAAAUUCUUCUAGUCAUUGCUUUAUUUUGGAGCUAUGCACAUGAUAUAUCAUAAGCCAGUUACUCCAUUCCUGAAACCAUUUUAUUCCUUUGUUGUCUUUGUAAUUGAGAUCUAAAUAAUACUAAUAGUAAUUUGGAUUGUUAAGAAAAGAGUUAUGUACUGAGGAAGGCUGAGGAUUGAAACAAGACUCUUAACUGACUCUGGAGCCACUAUUAUGCUGAUAAAUGUUUAACAACUGGUUCUCUAGGG